CACCGCGGUUAUACGAAAGGCUCAAGUUGAUAAUCUUCGGCGUAAAGCGUGGUUAAAAGACCUAUUUAAACUAAGGCUGAACUCCCCCAAAGCCGUCAUACGCUCCCGGGAGCAUGAAACCCGACCACGAAGGUGGCCUUAAACCCUCUUGACCCCACGAAAGCUGUGAAA
rnacentral:rRNA from 1 species